UGGGGAAUUUUGGACAAUGGGCGAAAGCCUGAUCCAGCAAUGCCGCGUGUGUGAAGAAGGCCUUCGGGUUGUAAAGCACUUUUGUCCGGAAAGAAAUGGCUCUGGUUAAUACCUGGGGUCGAUGACGGUACCGGAAGAAUAAGGACCGGCUAACUACGUGCCAGCAGCCGCGGUAAUACGUAGGGUCCAAGCGUUAAUCGGAAUUACUGGGCGUAAAGCGUGCGCAGGCGGUUGUGCAAGACCGAUGUGAAAUCCCCGAGCUUAACUUGGGAAUUGCAUUGGUGACUGCACGGCUAGAGUGUGUCAGAGGGGGGUAGAAUUCCACGUGUAGCAGUGAAAUGCGUAGAGAUGUGGAGGAAUACCGAUGGCGAAGGCAGCCCCCUGGGAUAACACUGACGCUCAUGCACGAAAGCGUGGGGAGCAAACAGGAUUAGAUACCCUGGUAGUCCACGCCCUAAACGAUGUCAACUAGUUGUUGGGGAUUCAUUUCCUUAGUAACGUAGCUAACGCGUGAAGUUGACCGCCUGGGGAGUACGGUCGCAAGA
rnacentral:rRNA from 1 species